CCCUUAGAUGCUCUGGGCCGCACGCGCGCUACACUGGUCGAUGCAACGAGUUUCUUUCCUUGGCCGACAGGCCUGGGCAAUCUUUGAACAUCGAUCGUGAUCGGGAUAGAUUCUUGUAAUUUUUGAUCUUAAACGAGGAAUUCCUAGUAAACGCAAGUCAUCAACUUGCAUUGAUUACGUCCCUGCCCUUUGUACACACCGCCCGUCGCUCCUACCGAUUGAAUGGUCCGGUGAAAAUUUCGGAUACCGGCAUUGCUGGCGGUUCGCCGCCGGCGACGCUGGUAGAAGAUCUUUAAACCUUAUCAUUUAGAGGAAGGAGAAGUCGUAACA
rnacentral:rRNA from 1 species